UUCUAUCUCCCUCUCUCUUUGCUCCUCCUGUGGUCUUUCUCUCUCUCAAAAUAAAUAGAUAAACUUAAAAAAAAUAAAAUAUGAGAUUAGAUAGAUACCUACGUAAUACCCCCCUCCCAUAUCUUCAGGACCACUGUUGGCCCACCAUUGCUGCUUAAUCGAUAGUAGCCAUAUUAGUACUUAUUCUGGCAACUGCCGUGGGCAGAGGCUGGGGACGCCAGUCAGGGAGCUCAGUGCAGAUGUGUUCUGGUGCGAGUGUAUGCAGGCUCGGGCCCAGGAGAAAGUUGGGCAGGAUGGGUCAAGUCCUUCUGGUUUCUCACAUGAGGACUUGUUUCUGAUGGUAGCCAAAUGGAGUGUUGUCCCCAGAGAAGCUCCCUGGCUCUGACACCGUGGCACGUCCUCCUCCUUUGCUGGUCCUUGCUGACCCCUGUGUCCCCAUCUGCACGUGGGGCUCGCACUGCCUUUCCUGGGGUGGUCGCGAGGAUUAAAUAGGAGCUGCGUGAGACCCGGCGCACCUUCCCUCAAGUGUUCCGUAGAGCAGCCCCAUCAGACGCCCUCAGAAGCCCUUGGGUUCUGAGGUGUCCAGGGAGACGUGUACCUCUCCAUCCUCCAGGUCCUUUCCUGGAAAGGCAGAUGUGGUGGCACCGGACCAGAGAUGGACCGGGAGCCUUCCUAAGCUGUGUGUAUGACACAGUCUUGAUUUCCUGAUCUGUACAAUGGACACAGUAGCUCCUACUACAGGUUAUCAUGAGGCUUAUGUGAGCUGGAGGCAGAAGGUGCCUGGAAGAGAGGAGCAGGUGUGUCCCCUAACUGUUGAUUCCCUGACAUUCACCUUCUCCCCUUUCCCAUAAAAGCAAUGGAAACCUGGUUGAAGAGUGAGGGAGGGCAGGAAGGGGCCCCCUGGGAGGCAGAGAGGGUCCCUGGGAGACUGUCAUCAGAGAAGACAUCCAAGCUGUGUAAUUUGAGAAGUGCCAGGAGACCCCUCCCACAUGGAAAAUCCCCCAGCCAGAUGGUGACUUGGGGGUUGUAACUUAACACCUCCUGGAUUAAGGGCUUUAAAAAUGAUCUGUGACCAGAGGAGGGUUGGGGUCUGCAGGUUCGGCCCCGUGUGCAGAGGAAAACACGUGCACGCACUCCUUGAGCACUGAGGGCCGUGCCUGUUGGGUGACGGUGGGGACGCUGGUCCUUGGAGUUUCCACCUAUUGUUGAACACAGAGCCCUGGGCUUUGCCAGGACAGCUGGCAAAGGAGGUGUCUCGAGGAGACAGGGGCCCUGAUGGGUUCUAGCCUCAUGACACAGUCGGUGUCCCAGGGUGCCACCUACGCAGCCACACUUGUUCACAUUCACUUCCCAAGAGAGGUGUGUGAGCUGCUCUCAUAGCCACUUGGAGGGUAACAAGCAUUUACUGAUAAUGAAGAGAAAAUGCAGACAUUGUUGGCCAAUUCCUAGAGGAAUAGAUCUGUGCUUGAUGAUUUUUUUUUUUUUUUUGAAGUCCUACAAUUCUGUCUUUACAAUGGUGUCUACACUUGGCCAUAUUCCCUGUUUGAUGGUGGAGUUUCUCUCCCCCUUCUCCUCCUCCCAGAGCCUUAGCUGUGCAUUCUGCCUCAAAGCAACAGCCCCAGGGCGGCAGGAAGGGCAUGCCAUCCGGGAUCAAAUAGAGCUAGGUUCAGAUUCUACCUCAGGCACCAUGUGGAGUCAUGUGAUGGAUGACACAACUUCUCUUGGCCUCAGAUACUUCUAGGUCUUGUUAAGGAUUCAGAAGUAGCACGCAGACUCACUGUUGGAUCACAUGCACCAUGUGAGGUUAGCUCCUUAUUUAUAAGGUAUAGCAGAAAUUCCAACUUACUUGUCUAUUUGUCUUUUCAUGCUGAAAUAAUUUCAGACUCACAUAAAGGUUGCAAAAAUGGUACCCCCCCCCAAUCUCACCCAUCCUUCACCUCGAUCCCCCAAAUGAUAACAUCUUCUAUAAGCAUGGCACAGUUAUAACAUUCAGGAUAUUAACGUUAAUAACAAUAUUAUGAACUGAUGAUUUAGAUUUUACCCUUUGUCCCAUGAAUGUCCUUUUUCUGGCCCAGAAUCCAAUCCAGGAUCACAUAUCAUCUUUACUUGUCCUUAGUCUCCUUCUAAUCUGGAACCAUUCCUUCACCUUCCCGAGAUUUUCCUGACCUUGACAAAUUGAAGAGAGUAUAACAGGCUUGUUAUAUUUUGUAGGGUGCCCCUAGAUUUGGGGUUGUCUCAUCUUUCCCCGUUCUGAAUUUCAGGCUAUGCAUUUUUGGCAAGAAAAUCACAGGAGUGAUUUUAUGUCUUUCCCAGUGCCUCAUAUCCAGAGGCACACUGUCUACUCGUUCCCGCACUAGUGACGCUGACUUGAUCCAUUUGGGUUUAGAUUUCAAAGUUUCUGUUCUUCCUGGUGCUCCAUGUAACCCACAUUCUGAUUUCUGUCCACUGAGCUCAAACUGUCAGAAGUGAUAUUGCUGUCAAAGCAGUGGAAAAUUAUAUUAAAUGCUAUUAUAACUCAAGAUGUUGCCUUCACACUGUGAGUUUACUUGAGGGAAAACACCAGUUCUGAAUUUCCAGUGUUUUUGUAUCUUACACAGAGAAAAACCCAAGAUGAAGUUCAUUGAGUGAAUAAGUAAAUAAAAUAAUGAACAAAUGAA